rnacentral:rRNA from 1 species
AUACGUAGGUGGCAAGCGUUGUCCGGAUUUACUGGGUGUAAAGGGCGCGUAGGCGGGAUAGCAAGUCAGAUGUGGAAUGCCAGGGCUUAACCCUGGAGCUGCAUUUGAAACUGCUGUUCUUGAGUAUCGGAGAGGCAGGCAGAAUUCCUAGUGUAGCGGUGAAAUGCAUAGAUAUUAGGAGGAACACCAGUGGCGAAGGCGACUUACUGGACUGUAACUGACGCUGAAGCACGAAAGCGUGGGGAGC